GCUUAAUGUGCUACAAUGAUGACAUUUAUUUGCUACUCUUGACUGCAGGAAUGACGAUAGACUAAACCACCAUUAUUUUAACUGAGGCACACAAAAUAGUUAUUUGGGGACUGUAGAGAUUGCACCUUGGUAACAUGAAAUUGUUUUUUCCCAGGUAAAAAAGAGCCUCUCCAGCAAUGGACGCAAGGUUAGAAACAUUUAUAUACUCAUGCAUUAUUUAAAAUUGAAAGUAGACAAAACAAUCUUAUUAGCAUUUCCCCCUUUGUAGAUGUGAUCUGCUCUAAUUCCUAAAUCAAACUUCUGGGGGCAGGCGGAAGAGGCAGAUACUGUGAUGGUUGCAUAGUUCAGCAGAUUUAAGGCAUGAAGAAAUUUACCUUUUCUGAUGUAUCUGGGAUUGUUGUUCAUGGCUGUUAAUCAGCAUAAGCAAUAUGGCAAUUAGCAACUUUAAGAUCUAAAAUUUUUUUAUAUAUUUUUUUUUUAGGCACUAGAUAGAAAACCAGAAGUAGAAAUGGUGAGUAAAGCAUUCCACUAAACAUAGGUAGCUGGGCAAAAAAGAUGGCGUUUUUGGAUUGCAUUUUUUUGUAGUAAGCACUCAAGCAUGAGGGCUAAAUUCAUUAAAUGCCAGUAUCUUGCCUGUUACCAUUUCUGUGAGGUCAGUGUGGCCUGGAUGAUGAUAAGAAGAUAACUGACUGAACGUGAAGUUUUUAAUUAGCUCUAACUGAUUUCGGGCAUUGUUGGUUUGGGCUGGGAGAAAUUUCAUAUUUGGCUAUUCUAAAGUCACCCUUAUUCAUUAGGUGGAGGAUGAUUUCUUUGGAUCUGCUUUAUUUUUCUAGUAAGUAUUGGAAAGCAUUACCUGAGAAUGCCAAUAAACUGCAUGCCUGUUGCAUAAUUUAAAAGUGAAUGAAAACUUGGCAUAUUUGAGCAUGCUCCAAAUGGGGUUUGUGUAAUGAUGUUGUUCAAA
rnacentral:lncRNA from 1 species